UUAGAUAAAAUGUUUAAGAUUUAUAUAUUUUCCUGCAUUCUACUGCAUUACAAUUCCUAUUUUAUCUCAUCUGUUCUACUUUCAGGGGAUUUAUAUUUAUAUAUUUGAAUAUUUGUUGGUCAUGUGAUUGAUCUUUAUUCCAUUUGGAGAGCAUGGUUUGAUGAGGAUUAUAGUGUCAUAUACCCAACUAUUUGAUUAGAAAAUUGUGGGUUAUAUGUUAUAAUAAUCUGCAGUUUUAGCUGCCUUAACUCUUUUGUUUCUUGAGAUUGUUGUUAAUUGAGUAGAAAGAAUUAUUUGUUGUACAAAAUUUGCUAAUGUUUACAUGCAUUACAUAACUUGAAGAUCCUUUGAUAUGUAUGAAUCAACCAUCAAAAGUUAUACCUUGUUAUUUGCAGUUUACUUUUGCCAGCCUUCACACAAGGGCUUCAGAAUUAAGAAGCUGGCAAAGAAGACACAUAAGUGUGCUACAAAUACAAAGUUAUCUUGGGUUUGUGAAGCUUCUCCUACAGCCUUCUCUUUUGUGAGCUACUUCUCCUUCAUUCUUCCUCUCUUUUUUUCUCAUCAUUAUUGCUUGGUAUUAUUCAUGUUUGGAUUCUGAUUUGCUUCUCAAGUCCUAUUCUUUGUGACAGAAGAGUAACCUUUUAGUUUUGGAGCUCAGUACACUAGGAUUUUGAGGUCAGUUCAAAUCCUUCUUUCGUCUUCUAUUUUAUGCCGAUGCAUUUUCAAUUUUUUUUCCAAAAAUUCUUUUCUGUUCUUCUUCUCCUUUUCGGAAAGCAUACUUCCUUCCGUGGAGGUGAGACAUUGAUUGUAGGUUUUCCUUUGUUAUUUUACUUUUUUUUCCACUCUCGUGCUUUGGUUUGGAGAACUUUGCAUAUUAUUUCCAUUUGUGUGCUCAUUCAAAUGACAUCUUUUAUCAGUCUUGAAUGCAAUAUUUCCCUUGCACUAAGUCUUGAAUGUUGUUUUACCAAGUCAUGCUACCCAAUCUUUAUAUUAGUGAUAGCAACACACUCGUAACACACAUUUCUCAACACACACUCCCUUUGGUUGGAACUUGGAAUUCAAAUGGAAUCCAUUUUUUCUGGAAAUGGAUCACAAAAAUCAUGGUUUCCACCUAAAUUUGUUGGGACUCAUGAAUUCUAACCAAUAGAUGAGAGUGUGUUGGAAAGAGCUUGUUGCUAGCAUUUUUCUUUUAGUGCAUCUCCAAUGGGAAAUAUUUAAGCAACAAAAUUUGGAUAAAUAAAAUCAGAGUAUUUUGUUUAGCGCAAUGUACAAGAUUUAAAGCAAAACAAGUUAAAGGAUAAAGUAAAUGAAUUUGUGAUGUGUUGUUAUGUCUUAAAAAUAUAAUGUCAACAUAUUAGAAUAGCUUAAUAACUUUUUAUUACUUAUCUUGCUGGGAAUUAUAGCCUACAAUAGGUGUGUAUCAUAAGUCACGUAAUGGAUUCAAGGUUCUGGAGAAGACAAUGUCAAAACCUCUGGAAAAACAUUGCACGAACUCAACAACUUGCUUCACUUUCUGCUCUUAAACUCUGAGAAAUGCUCUUAAAAUUGUUUCCAUCCGAGGGAUGAACAUAAGUUAAAUGGAGUAUAGUUGAAGUAGAAAAGGAACAGAAAUCUUACCAUGGGAAUUAGUAAAUUAUUGGAAAAAAAAUUGGGUUUCUUUUCCCCUUUUAGGAAUAAGGAUAUUUCAACAAAAUAUAUAUCAGGACUUAGAAACAGAUUUUACACCUUUCUGAAUUGUUCAUAUCAAAACAUGUGUUAGUUUGUAAAAUUUGAAAGCAGUAGAGGGCACUUUGAAAUUUGAGCACUUGAAAGUAAGUACAAUACUGCAAUAAUGUAUUUAUUUAACAUGUCCAUUUCUUGUUGCAUAUUUUAAGGAGCUAUUCUAUAUUAUGACAUUCUAAAGAAAUAAGAAGAUUUUCAUUUUCAGGAUUUUGCGAACUUCUUUUCCCCGCAUUGCCCAUUCUCACAAUUCUACUAUGUUAUUAUGUUGGUUAUAAGACUAAUGAGCUAUUAUACAAUAAUAAAAUAUUAAGUUGUCUCAAAGUUAUCUUUAGAACUUCAUGUUCAAUUGACCCUGUUAUAUAAAUACUUCAUGUUCCAAAUUUGCUGCAUGUAAACAUUUGUGGCUUGGUUUUUAUUUUGUCUAGCUCUCAUAGUUUUGAGCUUUCCGUUGUCAAGCUAAUUUUGCAGUUCUGUCAUCGAAUAUUGCUGUGAAGAACUUAGAAGCUUUUUACCUUAACUAUUGGGAUGUGUUAAAUACCUAUGCUUGCUCGGAUCUUCGGAAUUACUUGGGUUUGAUAUGUUCACUCACAUGACAAAAUGUACAUGGAAAAGAGAGCAUAAUGCUGCAGUUUUCCCUUCUUUUGACCAUUGCUUCUCCAAGCGUCUAUCAUCUAUGUUGGCGUACGCACGUAAUAAGGGCGAGGAAAAACGGCCGAAUUGGACUGGUGAAAAUGUUUGGAGUGCUUUGUGGAGGAAAUGGAACAAAAAUGCUUACAAACAGAAAAAAAGAAAAAGAAAAGAUUAAUAGAGCAUCUGAGAGGAGUACCAGCACUCAUAAGGGAGGGUCUAUGUCUACUGGAGGAAUUAAAUAUU